AAUAACCCAUUAACACCACCAAUCCAUUGAAUUGUUCGACUACAUAUCAAGUAAUAUAUUUAAUAAGCAUACCUUCUAAUGUAUUCUUUGUGACUGACCAAAAAAAAAUCGACUGUUAUGUUCUUUAUGCACAUGGAUAAUUAUGACUUACAAAAAACUGAUGGAUAUAUUGUAGCAGAUUUUUUUGUACAUUGAGAAAAGGGAUGCCAUCCAUCUCGAAUUACCAUCCGUAUGAGGUCACUGUUAUUGAAAGAUUUUUGUUUGUACAUUGAGAAAAGGGAUGUCAUCCAUCUCUAAUUACCAUCCGUAUGAGGUCACUGUUAUUGAAAGUGGCCUUAUUGAUUGUGGCAUUCGCUUGGAUCCAAGGUAUAAUGUUGUUUAAAUUUGUACUUGGAUGCUCAACAUUUUGUCAGAUUUCAAGCUCCUUCCUUUUUUGUUUGCGAUACAUAUUACUUCCAUGGUGCACCCUAUUUCUAACGGGUACCAUUAGAUUUUGAGUCACUCCCAAUUGUGAUCCGAUUCUUUAUUGUUGGGAACUAAGAAAUUUUUGUAAUUGGUUGUUACAUGUAAAUAUUAGCUCUGUACAUUUCCCCU